GCGCCGCCGGGAGGGGCUGGGCAGCGGAGAGGGAGCGCCGAAGGAGGGGGGGAGAGGCGGACAUUAUGGCCUUGAUUUUGUCGAUGAAAUUGGCAGUUGGGUCGAGACUGACGGAGGGGCGAAGAGGCACGAUGUUGACGGCCGAGGAUUUCUGGAGGAGGAGGGACUCGGCGGCGGAGGUGCCAGAGCAAACGACGAAGAGGGUGGCGUGGAGGUUGUGGUGGUGGACGAGGCGGUGGGCUAGCUCAAGGAAGGGAAUGAGGUGGCCCAUGCCGGGGCUGACCAGCAAAGCAAAGCAUGGGUUUGGGAUUCUUGGGCUGUCAUGGCUAUGCGUAAAAUAUGAAAACAGAGCACAAGAUGAGGAAGCUCUGUCUCUGUUUUCGAAUGGGAUG